UGAAGUAAGUAAGGGCGUACGGUGAAUGCCUUGGUGCCAACAGGCGAAGAAGGACGCGGCAAGCUGCGAAAAGCCUCGGGAAGCUGCAAGCAAGCGAUGAUCCGGGGAUAUCCGAAUGGGGUAACCUGAUCGAGGCAAUACUCGAUCGUUCAUACCUGAAUACAUAGGGUAUGAAACGCGAAACCCGCUGAAGUGAAACAUCUCAGUAAGCGGAGGAAAAGAAAGAGAAAUCGAUUCCGUAAGUAGUGGCGAGCGAAAGCGGAUGGAGCCCAAACCGAAGGUAUUCCUUCGGGGUUGUAGGACCACGUCAUAUUCGACCAUACUGGAUAGUAGAACAGCCUGGAAAGGCUGGCCGGAGAAGGUGAAAGCCCUGUAGACGAAAUCCAGAGUGGGAAUUAGUGGUAUCCUGAGUAAUACAUCACACGUGGAACGAUGUAUGAACCCGCGCGGACCACCGCGCAAGGCUAAAUACUAGUUGGCGACCGAUAGUGAACAAGUACCGCGAGGGAAAGGUGAAAAGAACCGCUGUGAGCGGAGUGAAAUAGAACCUGAAACCGUAUGUCUACAAAGUGUCAGAGCAGAGCAAUCUGCGAUGGCGUGCCUUUUGUUUAAUGAGUCUGCGAGUCAGUGUUUGUGGCAAGACUAAGGGCUUCCGGCCCGGAGUCGCAGCGAAAGCAAGUCCGAACAGGGCGCAAUAAGUCGCAGGUACUGGACCCGAAGCGGAGGUGACCUACCCUUGGCCAGGUUGAAGCAUGGGUAAAACCAUGUGGAGGACCGAACAGGUGAACGUUGAAAAGUUCUCUGAUGAGCUGAGGGUAGGAGUGAAAGGCUAAUCAAACCCCGUGAUAGCUGGUUCUCUUCGAAAUGCAUUUAGGUGCAGCGUCACGUGCUGAUGCGCGGGGGUAGAGCACUGACAAGGCUAGGGGGCACACCCGCUUACCAAACCUUAUCAAACUCCGAAUACCGUGCAAUGGAACGUGGCAGUGAGACAGUGGGGGAUAAGCUUCAUUGUCGAGAGGGAAACAACCCAGACCAGCAGCUAAGGUGCCUAAAUAACGCUCAGUGGAAAGGAUGUGGGAUUACACAGACAGUGAGGAUGUUGGCUUAGAAGCAGCCACCAUUUAAAAAAUGCGUAAUAGCUUACUCAUCGAGUGAUCCUGCGCCGAAAAUGAUUGGCGAUCAAGCGUUAUACCGAAGCUCUGGACUUUGCCGCAAGGCAGAGUGGUAGAAGAGCGUUGCAUGCGCGUCGAAGGGCGAUGGCGACUGACCCUGGAGCACAUGCAAGUGAGUAUGCAGACAUGAGUAACGUUAAGCCGGGUGAAAUCCCCGGCCGCCGUAAACCCGAGGUUUCCAGGGCAACGUGUUUCGUCCCUGGGUUAGCCGGGACCUAAGCCGAGGCCGAGAGGCGUAGGCGAUGGACAUCAGGUUAAUAAUCCUGAGCUCGCAACCCUUAAACUGGGGGGACGCAUGAGAAAAGAUGACUAGGUUAUUGAAUUCCGAGUUGAGUCUACGGACUCAGCGCAUCAUUGGAUCGAGUGCCAAGAAAAGCCCCAGCGUAUGCUAAGCGACCCGUACCGCAAACCGACACAGGUGGGUGGGUAGAAUAUACCAAGGCGUAAGAGUGAAACCUGGUUAAGGAACUCGGCAAAUUAGCCCCGUAACUUCGGAAGAAGGGGUGCCUGCAGCGAUGCAGGCCGCAGAGAAAUGGCCCAACCGACUGUUUAUCAAAAACACAGCACUCUGCAAAGACGCAAGUCGAAGUAUAGGGUGUGACACGUGACCAAUGCCGAAAGAUUAAGGCAAGGGGUUAGCCGCAAGGCGAAGCUCUAAACCCAAGUCCCGGUGAAUGUCGGCCGUAACUAUAACGGUCCUAAGGUAGCGAAAUUCCUUGUCGGG
rnacentral:rRNA from 1 species